CGGAGGCAUGUGAGCAGCACGGCCCAGCCCACCGCCCUCGGGGCUCCGGACCCCACGUGCCUGUGAGUGUCUGCGGGGAGCUGGGCACCAGCCGCCCGCUUCCUCUGGCAGGCUGCCCACCUGGCCUCCCCCCACUUUCUCUCCCCUCCCCGGUGUCGGUGCCAACAGCCUGAUGAAAGAGCUGGUGCCUGUUUCACUCCUGGCUGGUUGUCCUGGAUUCGCUGGUUCAUCUAAGAAGCAGGGAGAAGUCAGCCACUCCCCAAAUAAGCUGGAGGAAUAAUGAGCACACACUGCAAAUUGAGAAGUAUUUUUAAGCCACUUACGGGCAGAGGUACGGCAUCACUCAUUGCCCUGGGAUAGAGAUGACCUUGAAGGAAUAGUCCCACCCCCAGUACACUGCUCUCCUGGGCCAGUGACACAGGGGCCAGGACCAGAGGUCACGUCCCAUUAUGAAGUCUCCACAUGGCGCCUGGUACCAGAACCCGCAGGCCACUGACUGGUGCACUCGGUGCUCAGACACCCGCCACCCACUUCCUUCUCCACUGGGAGAGGGCAGGAUAGAGCUGUAGAGGCCUUGGGUCCACAGGACAGACACACGGAGCAAACUCAUCAUGGGACUCCAAAGGCAGGGGCCCCUGUCUGAAGCUCCAUGGGCACACGGCCGUCCCAGCACCGCACCUGGCCUACCCCACACAUCAGCCCAGUCAGUCUGGCGGCUGCAGACGAGAGAGGGUGCACAAGGUGCCGUGGGGUCACUGGUCAGGCCACACGUCACAUAAUCCACCCUGGGGACCCCAGUGCAGGUGUCUUAGGAGAGGCACUUAUGCUGAGUCCCGGAGUCGGCCUCCAGAAUGUCCUGCAAAUCCAGUGGCUCUUGUCCCUCCUGCCCCAACCCCACACAGAGCCUGUAGCCUGGAGAGCACCUCGCUUUCCCCUAGUGCCUCCCACCAAUCUGACAAACACCCAUCCUCACCCUGAAUCUCUCCACACGUGAGGGUCUGGGAUAGAACCCCAAACCUCUGCCCUGCCUGCCUCUCCCCUCCCUCGGUGCCUCCCAGGCUCACCAGACCCACCAGUCUCUCAAGCACAGAACUGACCAUGUGUCUGGUCCAGGGGUCAGGGGGUGGAUGGCCCAGGACCCCAAAACCGACCAGGGUUUCGGGGCCACCAUGGGGUCUUGGGGAGGCUGGUGGCACGUGCUGGGGGUUAUUCGGAAACACUAAUCUGUGUGCAUCUGCACCAGGAGCCCCGUUGUGCCUGAAAACACCCCAAGGCUCAGUGCACACAGGAAGAGCAUCAGUGAAGGCAGUUUUCAUGGUGUCUGUAGUAAAUGCUGUA